AACGAACGCUGGCGGCAGGCCUAACACAUGCAAGUCGAGCGAGGACUUCGGUCCUAGCGGCGGACGGGUGAGUAACGCGUGGGAACGUGCCCUUUGCUUCGGAAUAGCCCUGGGAAACUGGGAGUAAUACCGGAUGAGCCCUUUGGGGGAAAGAUUUAUCGGCGAAGGAUCGGCCCGCGUUGGAUUAGGUAGUUGGUGGGGUAAUGGCCUACCAAGCCGACGAUGCAUAGCUGGUUUGAGAGGAUGAUCAGCCACACUGGGACUGAGACACGGCCCAGAAUCCUACGGGAGGCAGCAGUGGGGAAUCUUAGACAAUGGGGGAAACCCUGAUCGAGCCAUGCCGCGUGAGCGAUGAAGGCCUUAGGGUUGUAAAGCUCUUUCAGCUGGGAAGAUAAUGACGGUACCAGCAGAAGAAGCCCCGGCUAACUCCGUG
rnacentral:rRNA from 1 species